rnacentral:pre_miRNA from 1 species
ACAACAACAUUCGGACCGUCGGUCUACCGAGCAAUAUCACCCGUUCGGUGGAAAAUCUUCCCUUUGUCGUAUAUU